AAUACUUUAUUCUUCCUGUUUAUAAUUAUAACACCAUAAAAAUUUGGCAGCUGACUUGAGUGUUUCAUUUAGGAAUUACAUAAAUGAAUUCUUUGAUGACCGUUAAUUAAUAUAUAUCAGUCUUUUUAAAAGUGAUUUCAAUAUCACAGAACCAAGUUAAAAAGAUAGGAGAAACUUGGCAAGAAAAGUGAGAAAUAGUUCAAAAAGAAAAUAAGAGUUUAAAAGACAGAAUCUCCCACUUGAAAACAGAAGUCCAGAAAUCAAAUGAAAUGAUUAGCAAAUUGAAGACCAGAAAUGACCUGCUGGAAGCCAUGAAAAGUAGGUUAGACCAAACUGAAAAGGAAGAUCAAAAGAUUAUAGUGGACAACUAGUCUUUAAAGACUAGAAUUGGGGAAGUAGAAGCUAAUGAUCUCACAAGACAGCAAGAAUCAAUAGAGCAAAGUCAAAAGAUUGAAGAAGAAAGCAUGAAACAUCUCAUUGAGAAAAUGAAUGAUUUGGAAAAAAGAUUGAGAAGAGACAUCUUGAGAAUCAUAAGUCUACCUGAAAACUCAGAAGUAAACAGAAACAUUGACAUCAUACUACAAGAAAUUAUUCAAGAAAACUGCCCUGAUGUUCUUGACAAGAGGACAAAAUAGACAUUGAAAGAGCCCAUAGAUCACCCUCUGCAAUAAAUCCUCAAAAGACAACCCCAAGAAAUGUUAUUGUCAAAUUCAAGAACUUCUAAGCUAAGGAGAAAGUAUUGCAAGAAACAAGAAAGAGAAAAUUUAGAUAUACCUACCCGUCAAAAUUGACUAUAUACUUCCAGGGGAAAGUAUGGACGUUCAACAAAUAGAAGAUUUCCAAAUAUUUGUAAAGAAAAGACCAGAACUAAACAGAAAAUUUGAUAUCCAAAUACAAAAACCAAGAGAAACAUGAAAAGGUAAAUAAGAAAGAGAGGGGAAAUUUUUUUCUUUUUUUUCUUUAAGGACUUUAAUAAGGUCAAAUUAUUUAUAUUCCUACAUGGAAAAAUGUUCAUUGUAACCCUCAAAAAUUUUAUUCAUGAUUAUAUUAGUUAGAAGAAUUAUUCAUAGGUAGUAUUUGGGGUACUAAGUAGUUUAAGAUGAUAAACAAAAAAGAAAAGGUGGGGAAUAGAAGAUGUCACCAAGAGCAACUUGAAGGAAUAAGAAAAUUAGGAUAUCUAUACCACACAAAGAGGUACACUGUUAAAUUAAUUUAUGGUUGGACUGAAUAUAUAAUUGGUGGUCACUAUGGAUUUAAUUUUUAAAUCCCAAAAUGAAUUACUCAAGUAAAUGGAAUGUAUGGUAGUUUAUUUUACAAUGGAGGGAAGAUAUUAAAGAACAGAGAAAAGGGGAGAGAGAGAAAGCUCUGACUUCCUCUGAACCAGUUAGAUUUUCUAAGGCACCAGUCAGGGGAAAGGAGUCUCAAGUCAAUCGGCCUUUCUCAGAGGUUCACACCUCCAGAAUGGGCAAGGAAAUAAGUCAGCCUUUACAGUCACCCGGUGACCAUCUAAAAAGAAAGUAGUCUGAUGUCUCCUGCAUGAGUUCCUCCAGGGGUCCAGUUCCACUGCCAAGUGUCUUCACUCCAAGUCUGAGUGUCUGUCUUCCAGUCUCUCCUCAAGUGUCUUUUUCCCUCCAGCUCUGAGUGACUGUCUUCACUCCAAGUUUGAGUGGCUGUCUUCCAGUCCAACUCCGAGUGACUGUUGAUCAAUCCAACUCUGAGUGACCAAUCCUGUGUGUCUCUGUUUCCACUAUUUAAUGACCUUUGUCUCUUGUGUCACCUCCCCUAUAUUUUACACUCCCUUCCCCCAUGAUACAAUAGUGAGAGAUAAGAGGGAAAUAGAAAAGAGAGAAAGCAAAACCAGUCUGCCCAUAGGAGAGGACUUGUCCAAGGCAUGUCAUGUAUAUACACAGAGAAAUGGCUCUGAUGAACUGCAGCUUACACUGGGGGAAUCAAAUGGAAUUGUACUCAUCAGUAUUCGACUUUGUAGGCAUCCUACUUCUGCCACCAAAUUGUUACGGAAUAAUCCGGAAGUGCAAUGAAUUCUAAUUUUACUAUAACUUUAGAGGAGAGACCCAGAAGCUGAAGUAGAAGAUAUUCUCCUUAAUAAGUAAAUUAUACACAGAAGUUUCUCUCCUCUACAGAAGCAGGGGAAGGUGUCAACAUAACCUAUUGCUUGCAGAGCAAAAAGCCUUCUUUAAGUGAAGAGCAGGUCCUUGGAACGAUUGACCUUUUUUUGGCCAACAACAUAUUGAAUAUGUAGUUAGAACGAAGGAGCCUCUAUCUCAAGGUAACGGUUUAGUUGCUGAGGUCACUUUCUGUGGCCUCUUUUUAAAAAACAAAUAACUUUAUCAAUGUUUGACCAUUUCAAUCUUUAUUUAAAUAGAAAAAGUAAAGUCAACAUACUUAUGAAACAUUUACUAUGGGUCAGUCAUUGUGGUAAUUGCUGGCAAAGAAGGAAAAAAAAGAAAGAAAGAAAAAAGAAGUCCAGACUCUAAAGAAGCUCCCAGUCUCAUGGAGGAAACCAUAACAUACAAACAAGCUGGAUGGCUCAGUGGAUGGAGAGCCAUCCCUAGAGAUGGGAGGUUCUACAUUCAAAUCUGGCUUCAGACACUUCCUAGCUGUGUGACCCUGGGCUUCCAUCUUGGCCAUCGUUGUAAAAGCAAAGGCACAUGACACCUAAAUCCUCCAAAUGAAACCAAAGAUCCGCUGAUGGGAAAGACCACUUGGACAGGUCUUUCUUGGAUGUGGAUCGCAGUCACCAUCAUGAAUCCUCUGGGACUCUCCCAGCUCAUCCGAUGCCUCCCUUGCUGCCACAUGCUGGCCCUGGGUGCUCUAAUAGCAUCGACCUGCUGUGGGUGCCUGGAACAGCAGGCGCUGUCCAGCAGGAGGCUGGAGCCAUCCUGACCACUUGCUCUGGCCAGCAGAUGGCUCUCUCAGGCAUUCCCCACAUUGGCCUCCGGCUCCAUCGCCUAAAGCAAGGCUUGAGAGAUGAGCCAGCGGGGGACCACCAAGCAGAAGAAAAAGGGGAACAAAGCACUCUCCUGGGAGAGGGGAUGAACGAAAACUCUUGGAGCUCAGAAUGAAGAACUUGCUCCAUACCUGGGCUCAGUCCCUUUCUUUAACAGAUGAUGUCGUUGGGAGCUACAGCAGUUUGGCCCUGGCAAGUUACUGCAGAACCUGUACCGGGAUCAGCCGCUCUGAAUUCUGGGCUCAACCUCAGCAGCCUGACCUUUGCUGCUCUUCUGAGACUUUGUGACUCCCUGAGGGGGUUUCCUCUAACCAGACUUCUCCCCUCUUCCAACUAGAACCCCCCAAACUGAAUUCAGGUCCGGCUUCUUUUUCCCCACACGGGAAAGGUGAAGCAAGGAGAUAUGAGGCAAGGCCACCCUUCCACUAGUUUUAGAUCAUCUCUCUCUUCCUCAAGUUGCCUAAUUUUAAAAGCCAAGGAUGAAACGGGCCAGGUGCCAUUUGUCAUUUUGAUGUACUUUUCUUCUACUAUGUGCUAGGCACUGUGGAGAAGAACCACAGAAAAGAAAAGAAGCGAUCCCUGCCCUCAAAGAACUCACAUUCUACCAGAGAAAGACAAAGGAAUUCAGAAGUAAGUACAUACUUACUUGUGAUACAAUGUGGACCCAGUGCUAUACAUGAAGUAAGACUCAUCCCCCUGAGUUCAAAUCUGACUUCAGACACUUACCAGCUGUGUGAUCCUGGGUGAGUCCCUUAACCCUGUUUGCCUCAGUUUCCUCCUCUGUACAAUAAACUGGAGGAAGAACAAACUAUUCCAGGAUCUUUGCCAAGAAAACCCCAAAUGGGGGGCAGCUGGGUAGCUCAGUGGAUUGAGAACCAGGCCUAGAGAUGGGAGGUCCUAGGUUCAAAUCUGGCCUCAGACACUUCCUAGCUGUGUGACCCUGGGCAAGUCACUUGACCCUCAUUGCCUAGCCCUUACCAAUACACAGUAUUGAUUCCAAGAUGGAAGGUAAGGGUUUUAAAAAAAAAAUCCCCAAAUGGGACUAUACAGAGUGGGAUACUACAGAUAUGACUCAACAGCAACAACAAAAAGAAAUGAGGAAGGUUAUAUUCCAGAAAUAGAGGCAGGAGAUGGACCAUUGCAUAUAGAGAACAAAUCAAACAGUAUGUGAAGGGAGGCCAUGAGUAACAGGACAGGAGAAAAAGAAUCCUUGGAAUAAAGCUGAGGGAGCAAAAUGUGGCCCAGAUGCCAAGAGAAAGCCACUGUUAACAUUUCUUCAAGGGGCAGGAAAGUAAUGGGAUUUAAAUGGUUUUUUAAGAAAGAUUAUCCCUGUUCUGGCAACUAUUUGUAGGUUAGCCUGAAUGGGGAGAGAAUGAAAACCUGUUCCUAUUAGACUAACCGAAAUUCUUGCUGGUAUACUAAUUGCCUUUCUCAAAUGACAUUCAUCUUCUCAAAUAAUAAUUUAGGCAUUACAACCUAGACUAAUGUGAGGGCAAUGGAAACAAAGAGGAAAGGGAAAACCUGAAAGAAAUGCCAGAACUGGGUAAUGCAUUAAUUUGUCUAUUAUGCAUAGAUUUAUCUGUAUAUUAUGUAUAGAUUAUUAUGUCUAGAUUUAACUGUAAUAGUUAAUAUUAAAAAUUGUAUUGCCAAAUGUAAUAGUUGCAAUUAUAAACUGGUAUAUUUCAAAAUGCAAAUCAAUUACUUUACAGCUAGCUGACUUGAAACUAAAUGUAAUAAUUAAAUAAUAGCUCUUAUAUAAUUUAUCUGACUGCAUUGAUGUUGAUAUAGCUAUAGGGUCAAGUUGAUUCAGGCUGUGGAGGAACUUGCUUGAGGCAGUCUCAUACAACGUUAUUUAUUAUUCUUUUUUAAGUAGAGAGAAGAAUAGGGAGUAUGAAUAGAGUAGGAGAUCUAUUAUAAAAUCCUAUUUCUAAUAAGUCUAAAUAACCAACCCAACCAACUGUCCCUCAUAGGACUUCUUGUUCACCAAGGUUAACCUGCACUCACUAUUCUCUCUUACUAAAGAUUAUCUUCUAUCUUAACAAACUAUUCUAAUUUAUAAAUCUUCUUUAUCCUUAAAUAUAUCUCUAUAUCUAUAAAUCCUCACCGUUUAAAGGAGCUUCAAUGUCUCCCUCUCAGCUUUGUGUCAGUUUCACAGAGAAGCUCUCUGGCUCCACCUGUGGCUGACAGAGGAAAAACUUUUAUUACUAACCCACUCUUUUUAGUUUUGCAUUUAUCCCAGCUUUUUCUCAGCUCUCAAAAAAAGUAUAUCAAGUAACUCAAAUCCUCUUCAGCUGUUCCAGAGUAAUCUUACCACCAACCAUCUCCAAAUUAAGUCCCAGAGACUCUCCCAGAACUUCCAAUUGUCUCUCUCUACUUCUUAAAGUACCCCCAACACGAUUCUGUCUCUUCUUUUCUUAAAGGGGGCAGUGUAAAAUGACAGAACCUUUACUGCUGAGCUAAAAUCCUUUUUUCUAUCCAGGCUAACCAAGCUAGCUAAAAUCCUUAUUAUAAUAUUACCUACCUCUUGACCCAUCUGGAGAAACUUCCACCCUGGGGCUUCCCUAUCUUUCUAGUGACUGCCCCAUCCAGUCCACUCUUUGGGGAUGCCUGAGUCACAAUGCCUCACCUAAGUCGAUGCUCUUCUCUUUGACAUCUACCUUCUCCCACAUGGGAAGCCAUUGUAUCCUCACCAGGCUUCCAAGAUCUCAAUCUUUUAUUUUAACAGACCAUAAAAAAAUCUAUAUUUUAAUCAAUUGUUAAUCAUUUAUUUAGUAAAUAUUUAUUUGUUUAAUCACUAUUAAUUGAUUAUUUUCCCACUGUUAGAAUUCAUGUUAGAAGACAAGUAUCAGAUGAGAGUUCAUUUUUUUUUUAAUUUUUAUUUGGUCAUUUCCAAACAUUAUUCAUUGGAAACAAAGAUCAUUUUCUUUUCUUCCCUCCCCUCCACCCCCCACUUCUCCCAUAGCUGAUGCGCGAUUCCACUGGGUAUCACAUGUGUUCUUGAUUCAAACCCAUUUCCAUGUUGUUGGUAUUUGCAUUAGAGUGUUCAUUUAGAGUCUCUCCUCAGUCAUAUCCCCUCCACCCCUGUAUUCAAGCAGUUGCUUUUCAUUGGUGUUUUUACUCCCACAGUUUAAGAGAGUUCGUAUUUUAAAAACAAUGCUGAUGCAGUCAUAGCCAGUCAAGGUUACUUGAAUCUCACAAUAUCUGUCAUUGAUACAGGAUGAGGACUGUCAAUCUUUUUGAGCUCUCUAGAGCAUUUAAUAGUUUCCACCACUAUGUUAUCAUAGAGAUAUUCCCCUCUCUUCUUUUUGACAAUGCUUUCUCUUAGUUCUCCUACUUGUCUGAUCAUUCCUUCUCAGUCUCUGUCUUUUUUUAUUGGAUCUUCAUCUAAGCCAGAAUCAACUUUGGGUAUACUCAAGGCUCUCUUCUCAUCCCAUGUUCUCUUUAUACUCUCUCACUUGGUGGUCUCAUCACUAUGGAUUCAAUUAGUAUCUCUACAUAGAUGAUUUCUAGAUUUAUACAUCUAAGCCCCAGGGAGAGAUCUUGAAUCACAAAAUGUCAGAAAACAACAUUUUUACAUGUAAUUGGGGGAAAAUACAAUAAAAGAUUAUUGGGGGAAAUAGCUAGCAUUUAAUUAGUGCCUGUUAGAUGCCAGACAAUGUACUAAGUACUUUAUAAAUAUUAUCUCAUUUGAUUUUUGUAACAACCUUGGGGGGUAGCAUGCUACAUUUAUCCCUGUUUUAUAAUUGAAUAAACUGAGGCAAAUGGAAGUUAAGUCCUUUGAGCUGGGGGAUUUGAACUGAGGUCUUCUUUAUUCUAAGCCUAACAUUUUUCCUACCUAACAUUUAGUUGCCUACUAACAUUUUCUUCUAAUAUUUAGUUGCCUCAUAAAACUAGAUGUCCCAUUCAAACUCAAAAUACUCAAAAUGGAAGUUAUUGUCUUUCCUCUGUAAAUUUCAAAACUAUUCCACCCUAAUCAGAUCAUUCCUUAGAAGAUAUGAUUUAGCUAUUUCCUGAUAAGUAACAAUGGAGAUACUUGGAAUAACAGAAUCAGGUCUUGGAAACUCUACAUUCUUCACCCUACUCAGUUUAACAAGAUUUUGAAGGUCUGCAUCAAAUUCAAGAUUUAAUUAUCUGAGGAGAUGGCCUUCAACAGACAUGUAAAAAAAAAAAGGACAGACUUCCGAGCUGUCCCAAGUCAAGCUAAGUCCUUAUUGGUACAGAUGAGAUGCAGAAAAAUGAUGUAAAAACGUCCAUAUAAGGCACGGCAUUUCCUGGCCCCUGCUCUUUCCCUGGAGAGACUACUCUGGCUGGCAGUGUGCUAAGUGUUCCGACAUCUUGGAGUGUUGGAUAGUGAGUUUUUCCCUGGAGCUGAUUUCAGGUUUGGACAUCUUAGCUAAGCCUCUUUGGAGGUCAGGCUGAUUCUUUCCUUCUUCACACUCAAAACCUUACUUUCUAGAUCUCCUAUCUUCCUGCCCAGUACUAGCCCCUUCCUUCCUCCUUCUUCUUAAAAUCUUCUCUACUAUAUCAAUUAAAUCACCAUAAAAUUUGGCAGCUGACUUGGGUAUUUUAUUAUUUGGGAUUUCCCUUGGCAACCACUUAAAUUUAGAUUUUUUUCAGUUUCAACCAUAAUUUCACCCUUUAUACCUCCAAAACAUCUGAAAGUUUCUGAACUAUUACUGUUGAGAGCCCCAUGCUACCACAGAAUCUGAGCAAUGGAAAAGAUCGGAGCAUCCAUCCAGUCAUAUCCAUAAAUGAAUGGAAUAAAUACUACAAUAUAUUCAACAAGUAGUGGUCUAGCCACUGCUUUAAGACUUCUAAGGAGGGAUAACCUGAAACUUUUGGAAGCAGGCUAUUCUAUUUUUGGACAACUCAAUUAUUAGAAAAUUAAUCCAAACAUCAAGCCCCAAUUUGUCUCUUUUUUUUGCUUCCACACAAAAUGCUUAGUCAUAACUUCUGGGUCCAAACAAAAUCCAUCUCCAACACAUGACAUCCCUUCAAAUACUUGAAGACAAAUAGCUCUCAUGUUCCCCUGAGUCACCUUUUCCAAACUUUUUUUAGCCAUUCUAAUAUGCCAAGAAUUCGAGGUCUUUUACCAUUGAGCAUUGUAAGAUUGAUUUGAUAUCAUUUUCUUGUUGAUUCUAUUUACAAGUAAUUGACUUUGUCCUGUAACUACUUAAGUCUUUGUCUCUCAACUUGAUUCAGAGAUUCAGAAGGCCUGUAAUAAGUUAAGUUUAACAAAAAUCAGUUUUUCUGUUAAUCACUAGUCUUUUCUUGUCUCAAGGAAUUUAAAUGACCUUGGGCAAUGUGUAUGAACACAAAGGGAAUUGGACCUAAUAUCUUUAUACCAUCAGGCUUCAAGGAUGUCUAAUUUGCUGUCCCAAAAGGUCUGGUCCAUUAUCUCUAACCCUUGUAGCUGCACUUGAAUAAUGAGCACUUUUUAGUCUUAUGAGAAAAGGCCUCCAUUACCAGGCUUCUAACCAAUCAUGUUGUUCCCUGCAUCUCAGCUCUGGAACUAAGCAUGUACUCCGUGGUGUUAUCUAUACUGUUCUUUGUCUUACACUCCUUAUAAAGAGGAAGUGUCAUUUUGCUUCGGGUCUUUAGCAUAAAUGGAGGCCAUUGAACAUUUAUUGAUAGGGAGUAUGCCCCUGCUAACAAAUAUUCUCUUGUUUGCAGAAUUGCCUCAGUUUACCCUUUUCCUAAAGGGUUUCCAAUUCCAACCAUCAUGGUUGUCCUUCCCUGGACUCUUUUCCAGCUUAUUGAUAUAUUUUUUAAAAUUAAUGUUGAAAAAUCAUUUAAUCACUUUAAUCAAUAGCACUUACUUAAUGCCAGGUGCUAUAUUGAUUACUGGGGUUACAAAUAAAACAGUGGCAGGUCUUUGUCCUCAAGGAGUUUACAAUCUACUGGUGCUGAGAACUAUGAGUCUAAUAGUAAUAAUUGACAUUUCUCUUGAUUAUGACUUUCAGGUAGUGCAAUAAUUCUCAAAUUAUCUUCCCUAGACCUAUAUUUUAGGUAACUUGUUUUUUCAAUAAGAUAUUUCAUGUUUUCUUCUGUCUUUUUUUCCCCAUUCCUUGGAUUCUGAUUUGUUUUUUCUUGAUUUCUCAUGAAAUUAUGUUUCUAGAUGGUCAAUUCUGAUUUUUAAGACCUGAUUUUCCUCUGUUGAUAUCCUUCUUAAACUGUAAAACCCAAGUAUAAGCUAAGAUUUGAGGUGAAGUCUGAACAGGGCAGAGAAUAAUUUCCCUAUUCCUGGAACCCUUCUUUCAUGGUACCCAAGAUCGCAUCUGCUUUGUUGGCUUCCAUUUCACAUUGCUGACUCAUAUUAAGCUUAUAGAGGCAGUUAGAUGGUACAAUGGAUAGAAUGCUAUGCCUGGAUUCAAGAAGACCCAAGUUCAAAUCCUGCCUCAGCCACUAAUUAGCUGUAUGACCCUGAGCAAGUCUAUUAAACUUUGCCUUGGUUUACUCAACUGAAAAUGAUAAUAAUAGCACCUACUCUCCAGUGUUGUUGUUCUAUAUAAAUCUUAACUAUUAUUAUAUAGUCUACUCAAAGCCCCUGCUGUUUAUGCAUGCCUCCCUCAACUUAUACUUGUGACAUGUCCCCAAGAGUUGACAUUUAUCAAUACUGAGUUUCUUAUUAUAUUCUUCCCGGGAACCCAGACUGUUGAGAUACUUUUGGAUCUUGUCUGUCAUCUAUUGUUAUAGCUAGACUUCCCAUUUUUGUGCUAUCUGCAAAUCUGAUCAAUGCCAUUCAAUACAUGACUUUACCUAAGUCGUGGAUGAAACACUGAAAUAGUAGAGGGCCAAACACAUAUCCCUAUGGUAGAUCUCUACUGGAGGCCUCUUGCCCCGUUGAAAUCAAACCAUCCACAAUUGAGUCCAGCCAUCUAACUAAUCCAUCUGGUUAGAUAAUAACAUCUAAAUCAUAGCUCAUCUUUUCCAUAAAAAUGCCAUUAUUUACCUCCUUUAUCGAAGCUGGUGAUAAGAUUGGGUUAAAUUAUAAACAUGGUAUUUCUAACGUAUACUACUUUAAUAAUUAUAUAAAUAUAUCUAUAUGAUUGCUUUUGUAUGACCUGUUGAUGACACUACUUACUAAGCUUGCUCUUUUCGUCCAUUGUUUCACUUUAAUGAUUCUUGCUAGAAUUUUUGUAAGAAUUAAAGUCAAGCUUACUGGUCUCUAUUUGCAGUCUCCACCCUCUUCCCACUUGAAUCUUGGGAUAUUUUUUUUCCUCUAAUCUUAUGGUGUAUCUCCCAUUUUCAAUGAUCUUUUAAAUAUCACAUAUGAGUAACUCACCCAUAAGCCAAUUGGGUGUCCAUAAUCAGUUCCCUAUUAAUGUGAUGAGGUAUGGGAAAGAAUUGGAAGUAGAAUAAAUAACUUAGAACAAAGAGUAAUUAUCCAAGAAAUUGAAUCUCUAAAAACUAGAACAUACCAAACAGAAAGCAAUGAUUCCAUGAGUCAGCAAGAUAUAGUAGAAUAAAAAAAAGUGUUGGAAAAAUAGAAAAUAUGAGAAAAACAAAUGACCUAGAAAUUGAGAGAUAAUUUUUUUUUCACAUGGAGUAGACAUUCGGUAAGUUUAUUUUUUUUAUUUUAUUUUUAAAAUUUUUACAUGGUUACAUUUCUUCCUCCCCUCAUCACCCCCCCCCCCAAGUUGAUAAGCAAUUCUACUAGGCUAUACAUAUUAUCACUCAAACCCAUUUCCAUAUUAUUAAUUUUUGUAAAAGAGUAAUCCUUUAAAACCAAAAUCCCAAAUCCCAUAACCAUAUAAAUAAGUGACAAAUCACAUGUUUAAAGAGAGAUAAUUUAAGAAUCAUUGUGGGGCAGCUAGAUAGCAUAAUGGAUAGAGCACUAGGCCUAUACUUGGGAGGACCUGGGUUCAAAUCUGACCACAGAUACUUCCUGGCAGUAUGAUUCUGGGGAAGUCAUUUAACCUUGAUAUUCUUCUGUCUUAGAAUUGAUACUAAAAGAGAAAGUAAGGUUUUGUUUUUUUUAAAAAAAGUAUCACUGGACUCCCUAAAAAUCAUAAUUUAAAAGAAAAAGCCUGGAUAUCAUAUUUUAUAAUCAUUAUUAUUAUUUUACUAAUUACACAGAAUAACACAUUUCCACAUAAAUUUCCCUGUUAUAUGAUUGAACUUUUCUACCUCCCUUCCUUCCCUUCUCCCUCCUGGAGCUGGCAGGGGAGUAGAUGCCAUAUUUUAAGAAAUCAUAAAUGAAAACUGCCCAAAUCUACUAUAAGUAGAAUGCUAAAUGAAGAUUAAAAGAUACCACUAAAAAGUCAGAGAAAUGUCAGAAUCAAAAUCCAGAACUCCUACCUUGGACUCAAAGAAAAAAUAUUGUAUAUAUUGAAGAUCAAGUAUCAUGGAACCAUAUUCAGUAUCACACAAAACCUGGCAGUUUCUACUUAAAGUGAGAUAUCUUGGAAUAUAGUAUUCCAAUUAGAAAAACGUGAACAUUUAUUCCUCAUAAUUUGGCAAAUGUUAUCAUUUUGGGCUCAAUUUAUUGUUUUGUUUAUUGUCAAGAGUUAAGUUGGGAGAGAAAAGGUUAAUAAUAUAAAAUAAACUUAUUUGUAGGUAAAUCCCUUCUACCUUCCUUCCACUCAAAGCUGGUUAUUUAACAUUUACUAGCAUAUCCUUAGAUAUAUUGCUAACAUUCUGAAAAAGAGAGAAGAAAUAAAUGUUAUUUCAGAACUUUAAGGUCUUCAAAGGGUAAUGAAAAUGUUACUUAAAACCAGAAGGAAAACAAUAGUUCUGGGGCAUGGAAUAGGGUAGAUUGAUUCAGUUCUCAGGGUCCGAGGACAGAGAAGCAAGGGUAAAAGGAGGAAAAAUAGACAGGAGGAACUUCUUCCUAUUCUUCUAUUUUUCAUAACUGGAGUAUGUGAAAAGCAUUUACAAACAUGAAGGAAAAGACAGGGGGAGUUGGCAUCCAAUGAGCCCAAAUCAUCACAGCUGAAGGGCUUGUUAACAUAGUUUAUUAACAUCGAAAUUUAUAGGGAAACAAGUAAGAGUUGGAGGUUGAUCAGUAAGGGAGGGGGAAUAUGAAAAGCAAAACAAAUUAACUGAUACUAAAGGAGAGAGGAAAAGGAAAAAGAAAAACAAAACUCUAAUCCAGUAGAGUGCUCAUCAAUUGGGGAAUGGUUGAACAUAUUACGGUAUAUGAACAAAAUGGAAUAAGAAUGACAGAAGAGAUGGUCAAAAAACCUAGGUAGGAUGAACUGAUAAAGAAAACAAAAUGAGCAGAAUCAGGAGAACAAUUUAUUCAGGCACAACUAUAAAGAAAAUGGAAAUUCAUGGUUUCACAUACAAUCCUAGUUUGCGUCCUGUUGUGUUCUGUUUGUGCUUAAGUUCAGAAUAAAAAAACUAAUUUAAAAAAGAAAAGAAAUAGAAACCCCAAAAUUUAUGUACAUGUCAACUUCUUCCCAGAGUCUUUCUCUCUUCAGGAGCUGAUAAGAGACUGGAAAUGCAUGACUUCUCUCUUAAAUCUGGAAACUAGAAGACUAGGAGCUCUUCUUUCCAGCUCUCAACAACUCUGCUCUUUAAAACAGACAUGGGGCACCAGGCAAUCAGUCUCCACUGAUGAAGAGAGUUUGGCGCAACUGGCUUUUGAGCCAAGGUUACAUUCAUUUAGUGUCACAUGUAUAGCAUGUUUGGUUAAUGUGGUUCUUACAUGGAAGAGUCCAGGGAGCCCACUUCCACAAAGGCAAGGUGAUAUGCCAUCAAGUGCCCCACUCCCUGAUUUGUUUCAUUCCCAAAAUUCUCUGAUUCUGAUCUGUUAACCAUUGAUGGUGAAGAGAUGAGCUGGUAAUUGGGGUAGUAGUCAAACCCAAACAGUACUCAAAAAACAAGAGAUUGGUCUUUAUUCCUACCUGGCUAUGUUCCACUGAAGAAGAAAGAACUCUGGAAAGCCUUCAAUGGAAAGAGAAAUCUCAAGCCUUCAGAUAUCUACUCCCACCCACUCUACCCCUACCCUAGGCCAACACAGGAUAUAUAAUAAUAUGACAGCAUAUGAUCCUGUUUUUUGCUUUUGUCUUGGUUGUGUCUAUUUUCUUUGUUGCAAAUCGUAAUUUUAAUUUGUUAAUGCAAUAACAAAUGUAGCAAAACUUGUCUAGCCAAUACAGAGUCAAGCCCUUUUGUAAUAGACUCAUCUAGAUGUGAAAAAUCAAUACCAGUUCCCCAAAAAAGAAAAAAAGGCAUUAUAGAAACAUGAACUCAAAACUUAAAUAAAUAAGUGGCUUCCUCUGUCUCAGUCACAACUAAAUCAAAAGGAAGACAUGUUUAAAAAAUUACAAUUGUAUACAUAAUGGUUCAGGAAACAAAUGCCUAAAUACAAAGAUAUGAGCACUCUGAAUAUCAUGGGGAAAAACAAUUCCUGUCUGGAAGCCAAAUUUGCUAUUGUGAAAAGGGGACUAUUUAAAAUUCUUCUCAGAUAGUUAUUCUUAAACCAUAAUUGCUUUUUCCCUUUUCUUAAAACACAUCAGUUUUUUUCUGUUGGAUUCCAAUUAAUAUCAAGUUCUUAUUUUCCAUAAAGUUUAUUAAUAAUCACUUGAAAUAUAAAAGGUAGAUAAGCAUAGAUUUAAAGUCUCUUCCUUACUCUAAGUCUGACCACAUGUAGCCCAUCCUGCAGGAUCCUCCUCCGACCCUCACCUGCCUCCCCAAGGAAGUAGUGAGUGACAAAAGACCCUGGUGGGAUCCACCCACAUCCUUUUAUUUAUGUUCAUGGACUCAGUGCUGGCAUGUGAAAAAUGGGAUGGACCAGGUUGGCAAUCCAGGAGGGGGAGGGGAUAAAAUUCCCUCUACACAUUUACAAAUCCUUGUACUAAUUACAUCUUGUGUAAUUUGAAUCUGUUACCCUAAAAACUCCAAUCCCUAGCAAAACUAUGAUUCCCAGCACCCUACUCACUUCCUGUCAUGACAUGCUGACACAGAUAUGAUAUAAACUGGGUGGAGUUCCCUGUCUAGCCUCGUUUUCCUUCCUGUGGCAGCUUUGGUGGAGUGAGUUUUUUUUUGAGCAGGUAGAAAACAGUCACGUGGUUCUAUUUUGUCAGCUAAUAAACUUUAUAAAUAUAAUACUUGAAGUAUGGGAUAUUAAUUUAAAUCCUACAACCUUGUGGAAAGGAAAACUGAAGCAAGUUUUGGACUUUCUGCCACUCAGGUGGAACAAACAGCAGUUGGAAAGUUAGAGAGAAGAUAUUGACAAGAAUGAAGUUGGUUGGGGGAGGGCAACUUGGAGAGGUACCGUUGGUCUCAAGGAGACUCUCUCCUGACCCUCAGACUGGAAGGAGCCUCUCUCCCUGUCUUGGGAUAGAAGUACCUCUAUUCCUGGAUAUUUCCCAACUGUGUGCUCUGCCAGGAUUCCUGUGAUUAUGUAAUCGAACAAAAAAGAAUUUAAGGGGAGUAGUUUGAACUGUAAGGUUGAUCUUUAGGGGCAUCAGCCUGAAGAGACAGGCUCAACCAAGUUCUGAAGGUCAGAAACUUUUCUUCCUCUUGCUGUCUACUGCAGACUUUGAACUUAAGAAAACUAGCAUAGAUUAGUUUAGAAAGGAAUAAAAGAAACACUCCACCAGCCUGCGAGGCCUGGCUUCAGCUCAAAAGCUAAGAGAGAUUCAAACCCAAUCUAGGGAAAUCCUGAUUCCCUCUUCCCUGAUACCUCCCCAAUCCAAAUUUGUUAUUAAAAUUCAUCUUGAGUUAAAUAACCUGCAGUCAGAUAAGAGAACUAUCAUUUCAGGGGGACAUAGAGGGAGCUGAACCCAAGGAUAGCUAUUCAACCCUAAACAGUCUUUAUCAAACCCCAGGUGGGGCAGGGGAAGCUUGUCCCUCAGGGGGUAUCCGUGCUUACGUGCUCUGGGGCAUCUUCAACAUCAAUCAGUAGAGAAGACAUCCCCUCAGGCUAUCAUAGUUGGCCCAUUUCUUGGGAAAUCCCAUUUUUCCAAGAUAGCCUCACAGCAGGCUGCAUCUCUCUCCUUUUACCUCACCAGCAUCCAUAUUCCCUCUAUCCCUUCAACUCCUCCAUUCCCUGUUACAAAACCUUUCUUAUCCCCUGUACCUCUUCAAUAUCCCUACAAUCCAUUUAAAUAUUACAAUCUAAAAACAAAAACAAAGGUCCCCAAGAUCAUCCAAUUCAAAAUUCCCAUUUGAUUCAAGUAGCUGACUGCUGUCCAUUUUGUGGAGUUUUCUUACACCUUCUUAUAAUACCUGCAUUGCAUUAAAGAAAAUUUGGAUAUUGUUGGUCUUUUUAAGGUAUGUAAAAUUGUCAAAAUAUAAUACAACAUAAGCAGAGAUACAUCAGCAAAUCCUUUUUGAGAUGAGAGAUACCAUCCACGAGGGGAAGACCUUAAUCUGUACUGGUAUCAUACAUAUCAUAUACCUGUGUAUCAUCCAUCCAACAUCGUACUAAAGUUCUUAUAUUGAAUUGGGAGUUUGCUUUCCCCAAAACUGCUAAACUGUUUUCCCUCAGUGCUCACAGUCUACACGAGUCCAUUCUUUUUUUGUUAGACAAAGGAGACUUGAUGUGAUUUUCAAUGACCUUGGGAGCUUAAAAAAAAAAUAAGGAGGAAACCACUAGAAGUCUAGAAGCUGAAAUCCAUGUCCAGACUUGCUGGAGACUAGGAGGUAAAGAGUGAUGUCCAUUAGAACUGUUCAGCUCAUCUUUGUGGUGGCCCAAAACUGGAAAAUGAGGGGAUGCCCAUCAAUUGGGGAAUGGCUGAACAAACUGUGGUAUAUGUUGGUGAUGGAGUACUAUUGUGCUAAAAGGAAUAAUAAAGUGGAGAAGUUCCAUGGAGACUGGAACAACCUCCAGGAAGUGAUGCAGAGCGAGAGGAGCAGAACCAGGAGAACAUUGUACACAGAGACAAACACACUGUGGUAUCAUCGAACGUAAUGGACUUCUCCAUUGGUGGUGGUGUAAUGUCCCUGAACAACUUGCAGGGACCCAGGAGAAAAAAACACCAUUCAUAAGCAAAGGAUAAACUAUGGGAGUGGAAACACCGAGAAAAAGCAACUGCCUGAAUACAGAGGUUGAGGGGACAUGACAGAGGAUAGACUCUAAAUGAACACUCUAAUGCAAAUACUAUCAACAAAGCAAUGGGUUCAAAUCAAGAAAACAUCUAAUGCCCAGUGGACUUACGCGUCGGCUAUGGGGGGUGGGGGGGGAGGAAAAGAAAAUGAUCUAUGUCUUUAACGAAUAAUGCUUGGAAAUGAUCAAAUAAAAUAUAUUAAAAAAAAAAAAAGAACUGUUCAGCUCAGCUCAGUAGUAGCUCAGUAGAGACUCAUACAGUGGCUAUGCCCCAUUUUAGAAACUACUUAAGUUUGAACUCAUUCUUCCCAAGGACCAAGUAGGGGAGAAUGUGAUUCCCAAGUAUUUAGAAGAAAUGUUUGUACUACUUCUGUUAUUGCUAUUGUUUGCAAUAAAAAUCCCUUCAAAAUAGUUCAUUGGUGUCGACUAGUUAAAAGGAACCGGGGCACUAAACUCCAGCACCUAUCAGGUGGAUAUGGAGAAACAUACUAGAAUGGGGGCUUGAGCCAGCAAUAUUAGAGGAAGACUUCCUUGAACCAUAAUAGUUACCCCUAGAACUCUGAAGUGGAGAAGUAGCUAGUCUUGUUUAGGGAGAAUGAGUUCAGUCUUACUCCAUUAAAAAACUAUUCUUUAAAAAUGCAAAAAACCAAGAUGGCAGAGUAGAGACUCUCAAAUUUCCCUUCAAACAGCAUUAAAAUGAAUUUUGAAGUGAUAGUGUUUAGGCUGGGCCAAAAGGCCCAAGCCCUUAGAUAGCUGGGGCAAAGAAAAGAGAUCAGUCCCUAUUACUCACGUGACCAAAAUGGAGAAACAGUCUCAGGGGCCCCCACCUUCAGCUUCCUUCUCCUCAGAGCCCAGGAACCACACCGACCAAAAACUCAACACCCUCCAGUCUCCAGACCCUCCUAUCUUUAAGGAACCAUCCAAGUUCCUCCUCCCAGUUCUCCCAUCUACCAAUCACUCUUCAUCAAUUUCCCUGUGCCAGUGGAGGCUCUAACUUAACCCAGGACCGCCCAGAGGUUUUUGGCUUUUGCACAUGUCUAUUGAAGGUCAUAUUUUCAAACGAUUAAAUCUUUACUCCUUUGCUACAGCCCUUUCUAAAUCCUGUUAACUUGAGUAUGGUAGAGAUUGGAAUAAUUAAAUUUUGAUCUAGGCUGCAGCCCUUACUCAAUCCUAUUAGGACUGAAUAGGGUGGAGAUUUAUUCCAAGUAUCUCCAUUGUAUCAAUUCUAAAAUCAAUCAAGACUCAAAGAAAUUCCUGUUCUAUGCUUAAGCAUAGGUCAAAGUCCUUUCCAUUGUUCAGCAAAGGGUCUCUGUCCUAAAGUAAUCUUAAGAAGGGAAGAGAAGGAACCUCCCAUGCCAAUGGGGUUCCCAUUCCAAUAGACUAUCAGUAAGAAAUUUUCCAAGUAUGAAAUAUCCCAAUGGUGAAAUUACCAACAUUUAUAAGUCUAAGGAAAUUUGAGGUUUACAAUAGAAACAACAAAGGGACAGGGUGAAGUGAUUUGCCAGUUCAAAAUGGCUUCGAAAGUCAAAAGGAAAGGUUUGUUUCACUGGAGUGAGACGGGAGCCAGUUUAGCACACUGGGCAUUUAGAGCAAGUCAACAGUGAGGGACCCCAAAGUACAAGUCAACAUGGAGACAGCUCCCCUUUCCCAGUUCCCAGAGAAGCAGCUCUGUAUUUCUCUUAAAACACAAAACUGAAUAUAAUGGAACUUUCAUUUCUGUUCAAUUGAUCAGGCAACUAGCCUCAUCCUGAAUUUUAAAUCCUCAGUUGCUAAUUUUUUCUCCCUCCUCAAAUUGAUGUGAAUUCUGCAUAUAUGUUGCAUCAUCCCAGAAGAUAUUAAGGUGGUUGAGGGCAGGAACAGUUUCAUUUUUCUGUUUAUAUGCCCAUUGCCUAAAAUAGAGGUUUAAGAGAUAGUUAUUGAAUUGAAUGUUAGUUUAAUGUUUAUAAUAUAUAAAUGGGGAAGAAAACAUUCACUCAACAAGUUAACACUUUAAUAGUGUCAUAACAGUCCAAUUUAGAAACUAAAGGCACUCUGGCAGAAUAACAGGGUUGACCAGCAGAGUUGAGUCAGCAAGAAGUUAGUUUGCAAGAGAUGAUGAGAGGAAUCAGAAAAAAACUGGUUUGGUAUGGGAAUCAGAGAAUUCAUUAAAUUCUCUCAUGAACAUGGAUUCCAUCUUGUGCUCUCCCAUCAUAUUUUUCUACAAAUCAUUCAUGGGAAACUUAUUGUCAUUGUUUUUUUUUAAAUAACCCUUACUUUCUGUUUUAUAAUCAAUACUAGGUAUUGGUUCUAAGGCAAAAGAGCAGUGUGAGUGAGGCAAUUGGGGUUAAGUGACUAAGUCCAGGGUCACACAGCUAGGAAGGGUCAGAUUUGACACCAGGUCCUCCUGACUCCAGAAUUGGUUCUCUAUCUACUGAACCACCUACCUUCCUCUAAGUCAUCUUUCAGAAAUGCGGUUACAUACAACCAAUAAGCAGCUCUCAAUUCUGGGAAAGGGAAGAUCCCAAAACCUUCAUCUCCCUCUCCUAAUUUGACUAAAACUCACUCUUUCUCUCUCCCAACUUGAAAAGUUCCUAAUCUUUUUUUCCAGUUAGGAAUUAGAUUACCUAAUGUUGUAUGUUGACUUGUAUCCUGGUUAAUGUUCUCAUAAUUAAUUUAUUUGAUUUGAUUGCUUUUAAUACAUAAAAAUCCAUCUCACUCUAUAUUCAGGGUCUUUGGACUGGCUAGAGAAUCCACUGACCUGUUUAUUAUGCCUGCCUUGCUAGUAAGUUGUAUUACUUUGAUUGUUUACUCAAUUAUUAUUAUUCUUUUUAAAAUCCUUAUCUUCUAUUUUAAUAUCAAUUCUAGGACAGAAGAGCAUCAAGGGCAAGGCAAAUGGAGUUAAGUGAUUUGCCUAGACUAGGAAGCAUCUGAAACCAAAUUUGAAUCCAGGUCCUCCUGAUUCCAGACCUGAUGCUCUAUUCAUUAUGCUACCUACCUGCCCUGUUCCUCAGUUAUCAUUAUAUGGUAAAGAUGAAAAAAAGUCAAUGACAGAUGGGUUGUAGGAAGACAGAAGAACUAAUAUAGUGUUGGUUGACCUAUGAAUUAGUUCAGAUGUCCGUGGAAAACAAUUUGAGAUCAUUAUACUAAAACAGUUUUAGAGGCACCUUCUAUGGUAGCAAACAACUAGAAAUGAAGAGAGGACCCUUGAUGGAGUAUAUCUAACCAAAUGUGGCCCAAGAAUUUAAUGGAAUAAUAUUGUGCUGUGAGAAACACCAAAACACGAAGAAUUCAGAGAAACUUUGGAAAAGUUAGAUGAACUCCUGCAGAAUGAAAUAAGUAGAACCAGGAGAACAAUGUACAUAAUGGUCACAUUGGUGUAAAGGAAAAAAAGAAUAAAAUAUAUCAGAAUCCAUAUCAGUGGAAUUGACUAAAGGUUACUGAUGAUGUUUAAGAGGGAAAGGUCAGAAGCAAUGGAAAAAUUGAAUCUGACGGACUACCUCGGGAGAAGAGGAAAUGGAACCCCAGCUGACAUUGGGGAACUUUUCAGCCAAGCUCAAAAGGGAGUAGUUGGAAAGCUGAAAAGGUUCUUUUGCUCCAUGAAUGAAGAGGAGAGGAAUUACCCUUUGCUGUGAAGACACACAUUUCUCCAUCCUUUUGCCUGAUCCAUAGAAAUCUUAUCUUUCAACUGGUGACACUUUUAGGAUAUUUCCUUUUCCCUCUGUCCUCAUUACUCUUCAACCCUUUAUACCUAAAUAAAUAGAUAUCUUGAUUUUAAUAGAGACUUCAAUCAGAUUCAAUGUAUUAGGAGGGGAACUUCAAAGAACAUCAUUUCAAGAAGGAGGACUGAGGGGAAAUCUUACUUACCCUUUUAGUCCAAUCAGCCCAACUUAGGGGAAGGGGAGGAAGGAAGUGUUACUUUAUAUUUAUUCCCCAAGUAGCUGGCAACUUUGGUUCCUUCUCAAUUUCCCCACUAAUACAAUGAUGAGACAUAUUUUACUCCUUUUCAUAGGCUGGUGAUAGAUCAUAGGAACACAAUAAAUCAUAAUGUAGUCAGACAUGGUCAAUAUAUACCGGUUUGUUUUAUUUAACUGAGUUUCUUUGUUGUGAGUUAGGGUUCUACUGGGGAGAAUCAUAAGGAAAUAGCAGUUAUGUUAUAAAAUCAUAUAACAAAUUUCCACAUAAGUUUUCUGAAAUUAUAAGAUUCAAAUGAUCUCCCUCCCUCCCUUUCCUAUUCCUUCCUGGAGAGGGUAAGCAAUUUGAUCUGGGUUAUACAUGUAUUAUCAUGUAAAACCUAUCUCCAUAUUGUUCACUGUUGAAAGAGAAUACUCAUAUUCUCCCAAAUCCCCAAAUAAAACCAUAAAUAAACUAAAGUGAAAUAUAGUAUGCUUUGAUCUGCAUUCCAAUUCCAACUGUUCUAUUUCUGGAGGUGGAUGGCAUUCUUUGAAAUAAAUCCUUCAGAACUGCCUUGAUCAUUGUAUUGCUGAGAGUAGCUAAGUCUUUCCCAGUUGAUCAUUCCACAAUAUUGCUGUUGUUGUGUACAAUGUUUUCCUGGUUCUGCUUAUUUUGCUCUUCAUUCACAAAGGUUUUUCCAGCUCUUCCUGAACUCAUUCUGUUCAUCAUUUCUUAUAGCACAAUAGAAUUCCAUCACCAUCAUAUACCACAAUUUGUUCAGUCAUUUCCCACUUGAUGGACAUCCCUUCAAUUUCCAAUUCUUUGCCAACACAAAAAGAGCAGCUAUAGAUAUUUUUGUACAAGUAGCACCCCCUUUUUUUCUUUGGGAUAUAGACCUAGUAGUGGUGUUUCUAGAUCAGAAGGUAUGCACGGUUUUAUAGCCCUUUGGGCUAUAAAAAAUUGCCUGCCAGAAUGGUUGGAUCAGUUCACAACUCCAUCCAACAAUGCAUCAAUCUCAAUUUUCCCACAAUCCCUCCAACAUUUAUCAUUUUUCUUUUCUAUCAUAUUGACUAGUCUGAUAGACGUGAGGUGGUACCUCAGGGUUGUUUUAAUUUGCAUUUCUCUAAUCAAUAGAAAUUUGGAGCAUUUUUUUUUCUUGUGACAAUAGAUAGCUUUGAUUUCUUCAUCUGAAAACUGCCUGCUCAUAUCCUUUGAUCAUUUAUCAACUGGAGAAUGACAUAUUCUUAUAAAUUUGACUUAGUUCUCUAUAUAUUUGAAAAAAUGAGGUCUUUAUCAGCAGUAUUUUUUGUAGUACUUUAUUUUUAUUAUGUUGGUUCAGACUACCCAUGAACAAUAUUUUUUCCAGUUCUUUAGAACUGAAUUUUUAUGUGAAAAGCAUUUUGUAAUUAUCUUUAUUUAAUUCCUGUUUUUUGUCUUGGCAGGUAGACUUCCAGGUAUUUUAUAUUGUUUAUUAUAUUAAAUUAUUUUAUUUUAAAUGAAAUUUCUCUUUCUAUCUCUUGCUGCUGGACUUUGUUGGUAAUAUGUAGAAAUACUGAUGAUUUUGUGUAGGUUUAUUUUAUAUCCUGUAACUUUGUUAAAGUUAUUAUUUCAACCAGUUUUUUAGUUGAUUCUCCAGGAUUUUCUAAGGAUACCAUCAUAUCCUCUGCAAAGCAGAGUUUUGUUUCCUCAUUGCCUAUUCUAAUUCCUUCACUUUCUUUUUUAAUGUCUCCUUUGAUUUUGGGGAUUUCCAAUUUAGAGUUUAAUUGAAGAUUUUAAAUUUUUUUUCUAGUUUUCUUAGUUGCAUGCCCAGUUCAUAGAUCUGCUCUUUCUCUAUUUUUUCAAUCUAAUUGAUGGAGCCAUGAUCCAGAAAAGGAUCCAUCUAGAGCCAUUUUUCUAAAACAAAGACAAUGUUACUCACCUGGAAUCAAGAUUCAUUCAAUAACAAAUAGGAAAUAGUAUUGAUAUGAAGCCUAUAUGGAGUCAAAGGGAUUUGGGAGAAAUAUGGGUGGGAAAACAUGGCACCUGAAGCCAUGAUUUACCUUAGGUCCUGUGGCAAAAGUUAUCUCAUCUUUUCGAUUCUUGGUUUUACCUGUAAAAUGAAGAACCUGAGCUAUGAAAUGCUGUAUCUGAGUUGUUUAGGUUUCCCCUAAUGACCAGAGAAAUGUUAAUGAAGACAACUUUAAGAAACUACUAGAAAUAAGAAAAUAGGAGGAAAAAAAGAAAAUUCAAUGUUGGCUAGACUGUGAAGAAACAGGGAUUGUUACUUUGUUACUGGAAUUAUAGUGUGGUAUAAACUCUUUGGAAAACAGUGCAACAUUAUUCAAUAAGUCACAAAACUGAUUAUUCCAUUUGACCCAAAUAUCAUGAAAAGAAAAGAAAAGCACAGCUAUACAAAAAAUAUGUUGUUGUUUUUUAAAUUUGAAACAGUGAGAAAAGGGGGGAAACAACCUACAUGUACAAUUGGAGAAUGACUGAAUAAAUCAUGGCAAUAAUAACUAUUCUGCUACUAUGAAGUGAUGAAGGAUAUAAGAAAAUAUGGAAAUGACUUCAUAAAGUGAUGAUCAGAAUUAGAACUUUAUAUAUAUUGUCUACAUUUAUAUAUAUAUGGUUUAGUGACCUGUUCUGUGAUGUCAUCAAUGUGGAGAACUCCCUCUACAGGAACUCUUUUCAUAUCAGUGCAAAUCAGUAACUCACAAGAGGUUGUGACUUGAGUGGGUGUUAGCAGAAGGGCUCGAACCUUUGUCUUUUUCAUUUUUAUUCUUAUUCUUAUUAUUUAGGCACUUUGGUACUUAUCCUACACGUGCACACUCCCCCACAAACAUACAACCUCAAAGGCAAUAGAACAUCACUUGGGAGGGGACAGAGAGCAAACAUUUUUCUAUUUGUCCACUUAGUUCUACCUCGCUAAAGAUUAAUUUAGGAUUUUAGUCCAUAUAUAUGCUUGAACUUGCAGGAAACAAUUAUUGAAUUUUGAGUGUCAGCAAAUUGUGGUUUGAUUUUAUUGUUUCAUUGACUGGGUAGAAUUAAGUGAUGGAAAAAAUGUUGAUAAUGUGGAUUAAACUUAAAAAUGUCAAGUAAAAACAUUUAAACCUUUUAUUUGUUUAGUUGAUUUCUUUUUUGUUUUGUUAAAUUUGUAAUAGAAGCAGCCCAGUGUAAGGACUAGGGGGACUAAGUUUGUGUUAAAUAGACCUAGUUUCAAAUCUGCCUUUAGCAGUUACUAGUCAUGUAAUUCUGGGUAAAUCAUUUUUUUCAUUUAAUUUUUAUUUUAUUUUUUCUUGAUGACAUGUAAACAAAAUAAUUUUGACAUUCAUUUUUUAAAACUGAGUUCUAAAUUCUCUCUGUUCUCCCGCCUCCUUGAGAAAGCAAACAAUUUGAUACUGACUACACAAUGGGGAGUUAUGCAAGAUAUUUCCACAUCAGUCAUGUUGGAAAUGAGUAAAUCAUACCCUUUAUGGACUUUGCACAACUUCUUCCCUAGAAUAUAAUUACCAAACUGAAAAUUGGUUGUGAUCCAUUUGGCUAAAGGAACUUCCAUACCAGGAGCUUACCCAUUCUGACUAAAUUACAGCUCCUUUCCCCAUUUGCACGGUAUACAUUUUAAAAUGAGGGCAUUGGACAUAACCUUUAACUAAUUAACCAAUUAAUUCAUUUGGAAGAAUUUUCAUGGUCUAAAACUGACUCAGACUGCAAGUUCAGAGGCAAAUAACAUAAUCUCCCAAAGUGAGAAGAUGUCCUAGAAACAUGAAGAAAAAUGACAAGAAAACAUCCAAGAGUUAAUAAAGCUCUAGUAUCUCAUUUAAUCUGAUUUCCAAAAAAGAACAGGAAUUUGAUUUUUUUAAAAGUUCCCUUUGCUAAGACCCUCCUAGGACAGACACCAAAUUGAUUGCACGCAGAAUCUUCCAAAGGGAGAACCACUUCUCACAGCUGCCUUGCGCAGCGCUCUGGUGAGAACCAUCCAGAUAAAACAGCCUCCCCCAUCCACCACCUGAGUGUAGUUCCGACACCUUGUUUCUUUGGUAGCUGGACUGAUUCGGGUAUUAAUAACCCCAGUGGGUACCCUCGCUUAUGGCGGGAAUGGAAGGGACACCAGGGGAACAACAGUUGAGCUGGACAGAGUCGGAGGACUCGAGAUCACAUCCUGACUCGGAUCUGCAUCAGAAGCAAACGUGCGUCUCUCUGUCGGGAUGACGAGCCAUUGGACAGAGUUCCCUGAACCCCGGGGUCCCCACUUAUCAAAGGAGGAUAAUUAUCUAUCUCUCGGGUUUGUUGUGAGAUCAAAUAAAAACAUGUCCAUCCGACAUUUUAUAAUCAUGAUAAUUUAUAAUCUUUGGGGUUCUUCGAUUUAAAGCUGAAAGAGACCUUCGAGGCUAACCUACUCAUUUUAUAGAUGAGAAAAAAGGAAGUCCCAGCGAGGCUACAGAACGUGCCCAGGAUCACGCAGAGGCAGGAACCAGACCGGGGUCUGCCAACGCCAAAUCCAGGGCUCGGAAGCAACUGUGAUGUGGUGCUGCUCAAGGUGUGGUUAUCAGGACUGACCGUAUCCCGAGUGUUUCUGUGUGCCGAGGCCAGUGGUAGCCGUGGGUGGCCAGGAGUACUUAAGCCCAGGGGAAGGUGAAUGGUGGAACAGAUCUGUCAGCGCACCCAGUCAUGGCACCCGGAGUACCAGGCUCCAAAAGCUCUCUUGCUGCCACCGAAUUGGGUUCAUCUCUUUUUUCAGAAUUUGUUGUUUCCCAGAUCAGUCAUUAAGGACUUCCAUAGAAUAUAAAAUUAGCUUCUUCCUUUCCUUUCUACUGCCCAAAUUUGAACUUUUUAAAAAAAAAUUAAUUUAGUCAAUUUAGAACAUUAUUCUUUGGUUACAAUAAUCACAUUAUUUCCCUCCCUUCCCUUUCCCCCUUCCUGCAGCCCCUGUGCAAUUUCAUUGGGCAUUACUUGGAAAUCUGAAUUUUUUUAGCAACCAUAACAUGAGCAGGAGGUCAGGUUCAUCCGACUUCACUCUUUGUUAACAACUCAAAUAUGUGAUGCUGUUGAAAAAUUUCAAUUUGUGAUUUAUAUAGAUAUAUAUAAAUCAAAAUGUGAUUAAAAAAAAUUUUUUUUAAGAAUCAUUACAAAAUAUUGGUUCCAAGGCAGAAGAGUGGUAAGGGCUGGGCAAUGGGGGUUCAGUGACUUGUCCAGGGUCACAUAGCCAGAAGCAUUUGUUUUGAACCUAGGACUUCCUGUCUCCAGGUGCCUGGCUCUCUAACCACUGAGCCACCUAGAUGCCCCCAUGAAAUGUAAUUUUGAGAUGACCCGUAUUUUCCACAAUGAACAUUUCCUAGUCAUUCUGGAUAGCUGAGUUGGAUUGUAUUUUUAUUCAUCUAUUCUGUCCUCCCCCCCCCUCCCC